rnacentral:hammerhead_ribozyme from 1 species
AUCCAGCUGACGAGUUCUAAAUAGGACGAAACUCUCGUCUUAGAU